rnacentral:lncRNA from 1 species
AUGACCUCAUCCAACCUUCAUCAGGUCCCCAGAGCUCCACCUCCGAAAGCCAUCUCAGUAGGGGUGAGCGCUUCAACCUAUGAAUUUGAGGGGUGCAUGAACAUUCAGCCCAUCACAGCAGGUCUGAGGACUGGCACGAGCACAUGUGUGCUCCCAUGUGCACCUGGCUAUGUACAUCUGAGCAUCAGAACUAGAGCGGUUGUUCCUUUUGCUUAUCUGAAUCUACUAAACUGUACAGGGACCACGUAUUACUUUUUAAAUUACAAAAUAAGAAGAGAGGACUCCCCAUUCUCACCGGGGAAUUUUUACGGGAGUAUCAGGGCCAGGUGCCCGGUGGUACAGGGGAGGAGGCCAGGCCUCUGGGGGCCAGACUGGGCUUAUGCACAGCCUCCUGCUCUUCCUGAAUGCUCAGAGGCUCAACAACUACAGGGACGGUCGCCACACAGGGAUACGUCCUCCAGCCACUGUUUAUCCGACGCUUACACCAGGCUCACCUCCAGCACCUCGUGCCGCCUCGCCGGAUGUCUGUGGACCGAGUGUUCUAAUCCCCCAGCUUACAGAGGGGAAGUGGAGGCACGAGGCAGGUACGUCCCACGGCUAAUGAUACAGAGGGAAGUGCUCAAUACGGGUCUGGAGCCCAGGCCUGUACUCCACCCCUACCCCAUCCUGCCUCUCCUUAGACGGCUCAGAACCCAGCCAGGCUGGUCCUGCUGCAUGUUCUCCUCUGCGGGGACCAGAGGCUGGGGGCUGGAUCAAGGGUCUCAUUACGGGGGAGGCCCGAGAAAGGACUCUGGGCUCUGGGCACAGCCCAUCCGGUGGCCCCGGAUGAAUGUCCUUGCCAGCCCAGGCCGACAUCCGGGCAUUUCUUAUCCCUGUGUGCCCGGGCCUCAGAACAGCCAGGGCCAGGGAGCCAGCGAGGCGGGAAGUGGCUGCCAGGGCUCUGGCACUGGCCCCGGGCCGUGGGUGCUUGGCCAGCCCUGUUGGCUGCCCACCAAGGCCUCAAGCUGGGGGACCGGGCUGGCCGGGUCUGCCUGA